rnacentral:tRNA from 1 species
GUGGGAAUGGUGGAAUCGGCAGACACAACGGACUUAAAAUCCGUUGCCUUCGGGCGUGAGGGUUCAAGUCCCUCUUCCCAUACCA